GCCUGCCCAGUGAUUAUAUUUUAACGGCCGCGGUAUCCUAACCGUGCAAAGGUAGCACAAUCACUUGUUCUUUAAAUAAGGACUAGUAUGAACGGCACCAUGAGGAGCAACUUGUCUCUCAUGAUGAAUCUAUGAAACUGAUCUCCCAGUGCAAAAGCUGGGAUAAACUCACAAGACGAGAAGACCCUGUGGAGCUUCAAACUUAAAAUCACCUAUAUGAUAUACAGUUUUUAGUUGGGGCGACUUUGGAACAAACCUAAACUUCCAAACCUAUUACUCACGGCGUACACGCCUAAACCUAAAAUCAAACGACCCAAUACAAUUGCCUAAUGAACCAAGUUACCCCAGGGAUAACAGCGCAAUCUUCUUUUAGAGUCCCUAUCGACAAGAAGGUUUACGACCUCGAUGUUGGAUCAGGAUAUCCAAAUAGUGCAGCCGCUAUUAAAGGUUCGUUUGUUCAACGAUUAAUAUCCUACGUGAUCUGAUUUAAAACCGG
rnacentral:rRNA from 1 species